UACGUAGGCAGCGAGCGUUGUUCGGAAUUACUGGGCGUAAAGAGUGUGUAGGCGGUGCUCCCAGUCUGUUGUGAAAUCUCCCGGCUUAACUGGGAGGGUGCAGCGGAAACUAGAGUGCUAGAGGGUGGGAGAGGUAAGCGGAAUUCCUGGUGUAGCGGUGAAAUGCGUAGAUAUCAGGAGGAACACCUGUGGCGAAAGCGGCUCACUGGACCAUAACUGACGCUGAUGCACGAAAGCUAGGGGAGCAAACAGG
rnacentral:rRNA from 1 species